AGUGGUAUUGCUGGGUCACAUGAUAAGUGUAUUUUCAACUUUAUAAGAAACUGCCAAACUAUUUUCCAAAGAGGCCAGCCUGGUUCCCUUUCUCACUGGCAAU
rnacentral:pre_miRNA from 1 species